UACGAAGGGUGCUAGCGUUGUUCGGAAUCACUGGGCGUAAAGGGCGCGUAGGCGGCCGAUCAAGUCGGGGGUGAAAGCCUGUGGCUCAACCACAGAAUUGCCUUCGAUACUGUUUGGCUUGAGACCGGAAGAGGUUAGUGGAACUGCGAGUGUAGAGGUGAAAUUCGUAGAUAUUCGCAAGAACACCAGUGGCGAAGGCGGCUGACUGGUCCGGUUCUGACGCUGAGGCGCGAAAGCGUGGGGAGCAAACAGG
rnacentral:rRNA from 1 species